GGCCGGAAAGCUAUCCAAACUCGGUCAUUUAGAGGAAGUAAAAGUCGUAACAAGGUCUCCGUUGGUGAACCAGCGGAGGGAUCAUUAUUAGAAGCCGAAAGGCUACUUAAAACCAUCGCGAACUCGUCCAAGUUGCUUCGGCGGCGCGGCCUCCCUCACGGGGGCGCCGCAGCCCCGCCUCUCCGGAGGUGUGGGGCGCCCGCCGGAGGUACGAAACUCUGUAUUAUAGUGGAAUCUCUGAGUAAAAAACAAAUAAGUUAAAACUUUCAACAACGGAUCUCUUGGUUCUGGCAUCGAUGAAGAACGCAGCGAAAUGCGAUAAGUAAUGUGAAUUGCAGAAUUCAGUGAAUCAUCGAAUCUUUGAACGCACAUUGCGCCCGCUAGUACUCUAGCGGGCAUGCCUGUUCGAGCGUCAUUUCAACCCUCAAGCCCUGCUUGGUGUUGGGGCCCUACGGCUGCCGUAGGCCCUGAAAGGAAGUGGCGGGCUCGCUACAACUCCGAGCGUAGUAAUUCAUUAUCUCGCUAGGGACGUUGCGGCGCGCUCCUGCCGUUAAAGACCAUCUUUAACUCAAGGUUGACCUCGGAUCAGGUAGGAAUACCCGCUGAACUUAAGCAUAUCAAUAAGCGGAGGAAAAGAAACCAACAGGGAUUGCCCCAGUAACGGCGAGUGAAGCGGCAACAGCUCAAAUUUGAAAUCUGGCUUCGGCCCGAGUUGUAAUUUGUAGAGGAUGCUUUUGGUGAGGUGCCUU
rnacentral:rRNA from 1 species